GUCGUCGUUUGUCUAUUUGGUCAGGUGUGUGGGCGUAGGUGUCGUCGUUUGUCUAUUUGGUCAGGUGCGUGGGCGUAGGUGUCGUCGUUUGUCUAUUUGGUCAGGUGCGUGGGCGUAGGUGUCGUCGUUUGUCUAUUUGGUCAGGUGCGUGGGCGUAGGUGUCGUUGUUUGUCUAUUUGGUCAGGUGUGUGGGCGUAGGUGUCGUUGUUUGUCUAUUUGGUCAGGUGCGUGGGCGUAGGUGUCGUUGUUUGUCUAUUUGGUCAGGUGCGUGGGCGUAGGUGUCGUCGUUUGUCUAUUUGGUCAGGUGCGUGGGCGUAGGUGUCGUCGUUUGUCUAUUUGGUCAGGU